GCAUCCGGGCCUUAAUCUAAAGGCUCCCAUCCAUCCGGCUGUCUGGCAUUUGCUAUUAUAGGGCACCAACAGAGAAAUGAGGCUGCGGCUUUAUCACUGCACCCUGGGUGACAACUUGAUUUUCUGCUUUCCCCGCAGGCAGCAGAAGCCCAACAUGAUGGGGCUGUUAAUUUGUGCAUUUCAUGGUGUCUGUCAGGGGGGCUGCCGAGGAGGGCUUCGGGGGAAGGGAAUGGAGCAUGUCCCAGGCUCGGAAGCACCUGUCUGCCUUGAUGGCGCAGAGCACUUCUUAUUAGUGUACAGGGCUCUAAAUGCAGCCCGGGAUGACAGCCUGGCAUUCCCAGCCCCGCACGCCGUGACAGGCGCAGGCAGCCGGUCCCAUUGUUUGCCCUUGAUGAGCGUGUCAUUAAUGGAAAUGGAAGAAAGUGAGGGCCACAUCAGUAUUCAAAUAGCCUCCUUUCUCCGUGCCAUUCAGCCUGCCGGAGAUCUCCCUCCGCCCGCCCCACUUAGACGGGCUUUUCCCCCAGAUUGGUUCCUCCUCCCGCCUCCCUGGGCCCCUAGACGGCCGUCGCCUAUCCCCCGCGAGCCCAGAAAACUGGGUCCUUGGCCUGGCCUCGGCCUCGGGGAAGCGCCUCCUUCGGAAGGAUGCUUGCUGGCGCCCGACGGUCCGGCUUGCCCUGGCGAGGACAUGGGGGUUCUCUUGUGGAGGAUGAGAUUUAAAGAAUCUGCGGCCGGCAUAAGUUUUCCCCUCUUCGACAACCCUUUAAAGGAGAAAGGACGUGGUUGUUCCCUUAGGAGUUUUCAGAAAUGGAGGAUAAAGAAUCCACUAGGACAGGGGGAGAUGGGGGGCUCUUCCACCACAAUUACAAUCUGAAAGUUAUUUCUUUUGUGGAUUUGGAAUUAGGAAGACGGGUCCAAACCGUAUCUGCCUCCGAAACUUUCUGGCCCGAGACCCUGGGCAGGCACAUCGUUAAACUUCCUUGUGCCUCAGUUUCUUCAUCUGGGAAAUAAGGGGGCUUGGACGCGAUGGCCUCUCAGAUCCCACUGACCCUUCCAGCCCUAACCCUAUGAUUCUACGAUCCUCUGGUGUUUAAAUGAGGGAGAAGUUAAGGAACCUCCCCGGAGGUCUCUUGGGCGAGAA
rnacentral:lncRNA from 1 species